rnacentral:rRNA from 1 species
GGGAUUGCCCUAGUAACGGCGAGUGAAGCGGCAACAGCUCAAAUUUGAAAUCUGGCCUUCGGGUCCGAGUUGUAAUUUGCAGAGGGCGCUUUGGCAUCGGCUGUGGUCUAAGUUCCUUGGAACAGGACGUCGCAGAGGGUGAGAAUCCCGUAUGUGGCCGCCAGCCUUUACCGUGUAAAGCCCCUUCGAAGAGUCGAGUUGUUUGGGAAUGCAGCUCUAAUUGGGAGGUAAAUUUCUUCUAAAGCUAAAUAUCUGCCAGAGACCGAUAGCGCACAAGUAGAGUGAUCGAAAGAUGAAAAGCACUUUGGAAAGAGAGUCAAAAAGCACGUGAAAUUGUUGAAAGGGAAGCGCUUGCAGUUAGACAUGCCUUUAGUUGCUCAGCCGGGCUUUGGCCCGGUGCACUCUUCUAUUGGCAGGCCAGCAUCAGUUUGGGCGGUCGGAUAAAGGCCUAUUAAACGUGACUCCCCUCGGGGAGAGCUUAUAGGGUAGGCGUCAUGCGAUCAGCCUGGACUGAGGUCCGCGCAUCUGCUAGGAUGCUGGCGUAAUAGUUGCAAGCGGCCCGUCUUGAAACACGGACCAAGGAGUCUAACAUCUAUGCGAGUGUUUGGGUGUCAAGCCCGGAUGCGUAAUGAAAGUGAAUGGAGGUGGGAUCCCUUCGGGGUGCACCAUCGACCGAUCCUGAUGUUUUCGGAUGGAUUUGAGUAAGAGCAUAGCUGUUGGGACCCGAAAGAUGGUGAACUAUGCCUGAAUAGGGUGAAGCCAGAGGAAACUCUGGUGGAGGCUCGCAGCGGUUCUGACGUGCAAAUCGAUCGUCAAAUUUGGGCAUAGGGGCGAAAGACUAAUCGAACUAUCUA